rnacentral:lncRNA from 1 species
CCGAUAUUGUUUCAAAAAAGAUCACACUAUGCCACUGACACAAAAAUCAUCAAAGUCAGGCAUAGAAACCUAUGGAAGACAUCCUUGACCGUGCCACGCCAUUGCCAUUGUCCACACCACCAUCCGCCACCACUGAUUCGCACCAUGCUCAUACAUGUAGUUUCACAAAUAACGAGUAAUUUUAGUCGUUUAUCAUAAAGUUUUGCCUCAUACACGUAGUUUCACAAAUAACAGAUAAUUUUAGACCUCUUCACUUACCAACAUAUAUGCAUAAAAAAUAACUAAUACUAGAAAAUUUAAGAAGCACAUAGAAAAUAAUUAGUGACAUGUUUACAGGUACAAAAAAAGCAUAUGAAACCAUGCUUGCUUGCAUUGCUAGUUCUUAGUAUUGUAUAAAAAUAGUUGCACAAAGACAUGAAAUUCUAGAAACACAUGAAGCAUAGAUACAUCUAGCUACAACAUCUCCAUCUUGAAAAAAAACAUGAGACAACAUGGAGCAUAGAAAACUUUUACACAUGAAACAUAAAAAUUGUGACCACAUCCAUCCCGAACUUAUCAUCCAAAGAAAGCUCGAUCUAAAAUACCUCUUGCUAACAACAUCCAUCACACAUGAAGCAUAGAAAUUAACAUGGAGCACAACUUUUACACAUGAAGGAUGUCAUUUUCACAUCGGUGCUUCCUUCCAACCAUCCUACAUCAGAAUAAGGUAUAGAAACAUGUUUUGGAAGGCGCAGAAACCUUACAGCGGCAAAAGAAAAAGCAUAGAAACAAGUUUUAGUAUGCACAUAUACCUUAUAGCUGCAAGAAAGACAUGUAAACUUAUUUUACUGACACAAAGAUCUAUUAUGGUCCCAACCCAAACCUUGCCUCCCACUUGGAUGAAUGAGUAAUCAAUAAAGAAACAAUGCGUAGAACCCUAAAUAAUUAUUUUAACUUUGAGGGUGUAUAAUUAACAAAGGAGCAAUGCAUAAAACCCCAAAUACCCUCCAUUCAAGGGGAUUAUUGUACCAGGAACGUGGCAGCCAUAACCCAAAGAAUACAUAGAACAAUGUAUAGAAUUGUGUACCAACAAUGUAGAAGUAAAACUUUCAACUAAAAUACACAAGUACACACAUAUAUACAAACAACAAACUAAGAUUGUUCAUGGACAUAUGAACAUACUACAAGUAAAUGUCCAAAAGCAGGUUCAGGCAUAUAUGCCAAAUGCCAUGGACUUACUGGUAUAAAUACUGAAAUAGUCACCCAAAGAUAGCAACGGUACCUAUGAUUGGCCAAAAGCACCAUGGGCAGCAGCUCUGCAACACCACUGCAUCCUCUAUUGCAUCCAUGUCCAUGCUGCCAAAAAUAUAUUAGUCUCACAUAUUUCUAUUGGAAGUCACGCCAGCCACCUCCACCCAACCCACCAUAG